CUACGUGCCAGCAGCCGCGGUAAUACGGAAGGUCCGGGCGUUAUCCGGAUUUAUUGGGUUUAAAGGGAGCGUAGGCCGGAGAUUAAGUGUGUUGUGAAAUGUAGACGCUCAACGUCUGACUUGCAGCGCAUACUGGUUUCCUUGAGUACGCAUAACGUUGGCGGAAUUCGUCGUGUAGCGGUGAAAUGCUUAGAUAUGACGAAGAACUCCGAUUGCGAAGGCAGCUGACGGGAGCGCAACUGACGCUGAAGCUCGAAGGUGCGGGUAUCGAACAGGAUUAGAUACCCUGGUAGUCCGCACAGUAAACGAUGGAUGCCCGCUGUUGGUACUUGGUAUCAGUGGCUAAGCGAAAGCAUUAAGCAUCCCACCUGGGGAGUACGCCGGCAACGGUGAAACUCAAAGGAAUUGACGGGGGCCCGCACAAGCGGAGGAACAUGUGGUUUAAUUCGAUGAUACGCGAGGAACCUUACCCGGGCUUGAA
rnacentral:rRNA from 1 species